AUGUAUGUACCUAUCUAUGUGUGUAUCUGUUUAUUAAUCGAUCUUCAAUGUUUGUCAAUCCGUCUGUCCAUUGGUCUAUCCCUCUAUCUAACUUAUCAGUCACUCGAUCUUUCCCAUUCUCCUUCUCAGGUUUCCAUGCAAAAAUAUCGGAAUAAGUGGUUGUUGGCAAGCAAAGCAUGUGAUGGUGUCCCUGUGAUGUUCAGGUGGCUCAGAAGAUGUAUUUGGUUCAAGAUUGGAUGGGGGAGUGGCAGACCUCUACUUUGGCCAGUGAGGCUCCAUCAUUUCUUUCCUAACGUCUUCUGAUUCGACUUUGAGACAACCCAGCACUCUGGAAUCUUUGCUGUGACUUCUCCAAUGGACAGAUGUUCCGUUCCAUCCUCCUAACGAGGUAAAGUGCUCCUAUUUUCAACUUUCCUCCUUCAACUCAAAAUGGGGACUAAGUCUGUCCUUUCUAGGUUCUCUACUUAAUGGGCCUUGGCUCCAGGUAAAUAGAAUUCUCAGGGGAGAUCAAAUAACUAGUUUUCCCUCUGCUGUAGAAUUAUUUCUCAAGUCAAUGUAAAGGAUAGGAAACAAUCCUUCUCCAGAUUCCGUACGUUGGGGACUCCUUCGUAUAUCUCUUAAAGAUGUCACCUUGAGUAAUACUUCAGUUUCUGGGCUGCAGUAAAUUCUGGUCUAGGCUUUUGGCUCCUAUGAAACCUCUUCAGGCAAAUCUUCCCUUUCAUAGGUUUUUAUCUCUUCACCCCCAUACCAGAACUGGGGGAGGGAGGGGUAAAAUCCAGGGCAUUCAUAGAAAUGUCUUAGGAAUUUCCCAGGUCUCUUUCUCAAGCUGUCCUGUGCCAAAGAUCAUUAGAAAUAAUGCACACAAAACCAUCAGUUUUCUCCACUUCGAAAGGAAAUUAGUUCUCCUUAUUCCCUGGUCUUUUCAAACAAAAACUUAUCUAUUGAAAUGGUUGCACUCUGGAAAUUGACCUUCAAAAUGCCCCAAAUCAGGUUAUUGUAGAUGAAGCUUUUCCUUUCUCAAAAACUCAAACUGGUAACAUUUUCUCUCCAAAAACAAAACUUAGGGUUACUAAGGAAGAGGUUCAAAAUUUCCUCUAACUAGUAACAUCUCUACUAUUCCCUUCCCUUUUUUCAUUUUUUACUCUCUAAUUUCCUUUGGGCUGCCAAUUUGCCUUUCUCUUCUCCUUGCCUCAAAGCACUUUGGCCUAUGGCUAAAGCUGCUCUUAGAGAGGAAAUUUGUGGUUCAUAUAAAAAAUGUUCAGGGUUUCCUCAUGAUUAAAAGCAAAGCAUUCCCCACCGUAUU
rnacentral:lncRNA from 1 species